rnacentral:rRNA from 1 species
UUUAAAUGUUAAAUUAUUUAUCAAAGUAGUAUUAGUUAUGAUCUUGAAAUUUAAAAAUUUUGGCGGUGUUUUAGUCUAUUUAGAGGAACCUGUUCUUUAAUUGAUAGUCCACGAUAAAUUAUACUUUAUUUUAUUAGUUUGUAUAUCGUCGUUAUUAAGUAUUUUAGAAGAAUAUGAAUAUUUAAUAUUUUUAAUUUAAAUAUAUUUCAGAUCAAGGUGCAGCUUAUAUUAAAGUAGAAAUGGGUUACAAUAAAUUUAUUUAUACGAAUUUGUUAAUGAAAAUAAUAAUGAAGGUGGAUUUAAUAGUAAUAAAAUUAAUAUUAAUUUUAUGAUUUUAGCUCUAAAAUGUGU